CCUACGGGAGGCAGCAGUGGGGAAUAUUGGGCAAUGGAGGAAACUCUGACCCAGCGACGCCGCGUGAGGGAUGAAGGCCUUCGGGUUGUAAACCUCUUUCAGUAGGGAAGAAGCGAAAGUGACGGUACCUACAGAAGAAGCACCGGCUAACUAUGUGCCAGCAGCCGCGGUAAUACAUAGGGUGCAAGCGUUGUCCGGAAUUAUUGGGCGUAAAGAGCUCGUAGGUGGUUCGAUACGUCGGAUGUGAAAAUCAGGGGCUCAACCCCUGACCUGCAUCCGAUACGGUCGAGCUAGAGUUUGGUAGGGGAGACUGGAAUUCCUGGUGUAGCGGUGGAAUGCGCAGAUAUCAGGAGGAACACCGAUGGCGAAGGCAGGUCUCUGGGCCAAUACUGACACUGAGGAGCGAAAGCGUGGGGAGCGAACAGGAUUAGAUACCCUGGUAGUCCACGCCGUAAACGGUGGGCGCUAGUUGUGCGAACCUUCCACGGUUUGUGCGACGCAGCUAACGCAUUAAGCGCCCCGCCUGGGGAGUACGAUCGCAAGAUUAAAACUCAAAGGAAUUGACGGCUGAGACGNGCGAGACGACGACGAGGGAGAG
rnacentral:rRNA from 1 species